rnacentral:rRNA from 1 species
CGAACGAGAGUUUAUUAAUUGAUUACUUCGGUAUGAUUUUUCUAAAAUCGAGUGGCGGACGGGUGAGUAACACGUGGGUAACCUGCCCUUAAGUAGGGGAUAACAUUUGGAAACAGAUGCUAAUACCGUAUAAACCUCAGAAACACAUGUUUCUGAGUUGAAAGGCGGCUUUCGAGCUGUCGCUUUUGGAUGGACCCGCGGCGUAUUAGCUAGUUGGUGAGGUAAAGGCUCACCAAGGCAGUGAUACGUAGCCGACCUGAGAGGGUGAUCGGCCACAUUGGGACUGAGACACGGCCCAAACUCCUACGGGAGGCAGCAGUAGGGAAUCUUCCACAAUGGACGAAAGUCUGAUGGAGCAACGCCGCGUGAGUGAAGAAGGUUUUCGGAUCGUAAAACUCUGUUGUUGGAGAAGAACACGUUUGAGAGUAACUGUUCAGACGUUGACGGUAUCCAACCAGAAAGCCACGGCUAACUACGUGCCAGCAGCCGCGGUAAUACGUAGGUGGCAAGCGUUAUCCGGAUUUAUUGGGCGUAAAGCGAGCGCAGGCGGUUUCUUAAGUCUGAUGUGAAAGCCUUCGGCUUAACCGAAGAAGUGCAUCGGAAACUGGGAAACUUGAGUGCAGAAGAGGACAGUGGAACUCCAUGUGUAGCGGUGAAAUGCGUAGAUAUAUGGAAGAACACCAGUGGCGAAGGCGGCUGUCUGGUCUGUAACUGACGCUGAGGCUCGAAAGCAUGGGUAGCGAACAGGAUUAGAUACCCUGGUAGUCCAUGCCGUAAACGAUGAAUGCUAGGUGUUGGAGGGUUUCCGCCCUUCAGUGCCGCAGCU